rnacentral:lncRNA from 1 species
GGGACCAUGGGUAACAUGAAAGAGAGUAUUUGUUUCUCUGGAAAACAUCGUCUCAAGUUACAAGCCAAGCUGCCUCUAGAUGUCCCUUUUCAACUCAUUGGAAAAAAAUACAGGCCUAUGUCCAAACCUCAAUGUUGAAAGCAUUUAGGAGAUAUCCAAUUCACAGCCCACAGGCCCACUUCCAAGAAAGGAAACAAAUAAUGCAAAUGAUUACCUAUUAUUUUUUGUUCUGACAUCUCUCAAGCAAGUCUGGAGACCUUCUUUCCUCAUUCUGAAACCACAUCUCAAACUUCUGCCUAGCACACUCUCCGCCCAGGCUCCUCAAUUCCCGUCUCUGACAAAGCCAUGCUUUGCUGCCUCUCUGAGGGAGUGACUCUGGGGACCUGUCCCUGCCUAUUUUGGGGUAGCCUGAAGAUCCAGC